UUCUCUGGUGGCUCAGAUGGUAGAGCAUCUGCCUGUAAUGCAGGAGACCCAGGUUCAAUACCUGGGUCAAGAAG